UACGUAGGGUGCAAGCGUUGUCCGGAAUUAUUGGGCGUAAAGAGCUCGUAGGCGGUCUGUCGCGUCGGCUGUGAAAACCCGAGGCUCAACCUCGGGCCUGCAGUCGAUACGGGCAAACUAGAGUACUGUAGGGGAGACUGGAAUUCCUGGUGUAGCGGUGAAAUGCGCAGAUAUCAGGAGGAACACCGGUGGCGAAGGCGGGUCUCUGGGCCGAAAUUGACGCUGAGGAGCGAAAGCGUGGGGAGCAAACAGG
rnacentral:rRNA from 1 species